CUAGGAUGAACUCUAGAUGACGAGUCCGAUAUCCUGUUGGGUACGGUUUCCGUGCUCAACAGACUUGUGACGAUACAUCUAUAAAUUUUUACCAUUCAUGCAUUUCUGAAA
rnacentral:snoRNA from 1 species